rnacentral:rRNA from 1 species
ACGGAAGGCAGCAGUAGGGAAUCUUCCACAAUGGGCGAAAGCCUGAUGGAGCAACGCCGCGUGUGUGAUGAAGGGUUUCGGCUCGUAAAACACUGUUGUAAGAGAAGAAUGACAUUGAGAGUAACUGUUCAAUGUGUGACGGUAUCUUACCAGAAAGGAACGGCUAAAUACGUGCCAGCAGCCGCGGUAAUACGUAUGUUCCAAGCGUUAUCCGGAUUCAUUGGGCGUAAAGCGAGCGCAGACGGUUAUUUAAGGCUGAAGUGAAAGCCCUCAGCUCAACUGAGGAAUUGCUUUGGAAACUGGAUGACUUGAGUGCAGUAGAGGAAAGUGGAACUCUAUGUGUAGCGGUGAAAUGCGUAGAUAUAUGGAAGAACACCAGUGGCGAAGACGGCUUUCUGGACUGUAACUGACGUUGAGGCUCGAAAGUGUGGGUAGCAAACAGGAUUAGAUACCCUGGUA